rnacentral:rRNA from 1 species
CACUAGUGAUUGUGCCAGCAGGCCGCGGUGAAUACGUUCCCGGGCCUUGUACACACCGCCCGUCACACCACCCGAGUCGUCCGCACCCGAAGUCGCUGGCCCAACCCGCAAGGGAGGGAGGUGCCGAAGGUGUAGAGGGUAAGGGGGU